rnacentral:rRNA from 1 species
GUGAACGCUGGCGGUAGGCCUAACACCUGCAAGUCGAACGGCAGCACAGUAAGAGCUUGCUCUUACGGGUGGCGAGUGGCGGACGGGUGAGGAAUACAUCGGAAUCUACUUUUUCGUGGGGGAUAACGUAGGGAAACUUACGCUAAUACCGCAUACGACCUACGGGUGAAAGCAGGGGAUCUUCGGACCUUGCGCGAUUGAAUGAGCCGAUGUCGGAUUAGCUAGUUGGCGGGGUAAAGGCCCACCAAGGCGACGAUCCGUAGCUGGUCGGAGAGGAUGAUCGGCCACACGGGAACGUAGACACGGUCCAGACUCCUACGGGAGGCAGCAGUGGGGAAUAUUGGACAAUGGGCGCAAGCCUGAUCCAGCCAUACCGCGUGGGUGAAGAAGGCCUUCGGGUUGUAAAGCCCUUUUGUUGGGAAAGAAAAGCAGCAGGUUAAUACCCCGCUGUUCUGACGGUACCCAAAGAAUAAGCACCGGCUAACUUCGUG